AUUAAAUAUGGACGGAGAAAAUGCAGAGGAGACGCGCGUUUAUCACAAUGAUGUGAGCACAGCUGGGGUCGAUCAAGCCUAGGAGCAGUUUCAUAAGAAUCAACAAAACAUUUCCUUGUCUCACUGCUUUAUGACCUUUACAUCCUUGACAUCAGAUGUCAUUACAUCUUAGAUUGGGCCAAAAAUGUCAACUAUCCCCAAUUCCCAAUUGUGAAAUGUGGGUUGAAACAAGACAGCCCCUCCCCCAAAAGUCAUUUAUUUGCCAUGCAGACACACAAUGAUGUGAAACCUGUCAAUGAAAGCUGGUAGUGAUGUUUACACACGAUACCAAUACUUCCAAGACAUUGGUUUGAG